UACGUAGGGGCCGAGCGUUGUCCGGAGUUAUUGGGCGUAAAGCGCGCGCAGGCGGCUUCGCGCGUCCGACGUGAAAGCCCCCGGCUCAACCGGGGAGGGUCGUUGGGUACGGCGGAGCUUGAGGGCGGUAGAGGUUGGUGGAAUUCCCGGUGUAGUGGUGAAAUGCGCAGAUAUCAGGAGGAACACCGGUGGCGAAGGCGGGUCUCUGGGCCGAUACUGACGCUGAAGAGCGAAAGCGUGGGGAGCGAACAGG
rnacentral:rRNA from 1 species